GAUGAACGCUAGCGGCAGGCCUAACACAUGCAAGUCGAGGGGUAACUAGAGUGAUAGCAAUAUUACUUUGGCUAGACCGGCGCACGGGUGCGUAACACGUAUGCAACCUACCUUAUACUGGGGAAUAACUUCGAGAAAUCGACGCUAAUACCCCAUAACAUUGCGACGAGGCAUCUCCUUGCAAUUAAAGAUCCGGCGGUAUAAGAUGGGCAGGCGUCAAAUUAGCUAGUUGGUGAGGUAACGGCUGACCAACGCUACGAUUGGUAGGGGUUCUGAGAGGACGAUCCCCCACACUGGUACUGAAACACGGACCAGACUCCUACGGGAGGCAGCAGUGAGGAAUAUUGCGCAAUGGACGAAAGUCUGACGCAGCCAUGCCGCGUGCAGGAUGACGGCCCUAUGGGUUGUAAACUGCUUUUGUACGGGAAUAAACCCUUCUACGUGUAGGAGGCUGAAGGUACCGUAAGAAUAAGCACCGGCUAACUCCGUGCCAGCAGCCGCGGUAAGAC
rnacentral:rRNA from 1 species